rnacentral:tRNA from 1 species
UGGCUGAGCGGUAAAGCACUUGGCUUCGGAACCGGGGGUCCCGGGUUUAAAUCCCGG